AAUAGAUGGAGCCAUUCUAGCUUUUGCAUUAUGUGGGCAUAGAGUCUAAUACUUUAAGAUCCCUGAUUUUAAUAGCUGAAUAAUCCUUUUUCUAUCUCCUUCAUACUGCAGGGAGUUUCCCAAAACCAAAGUCUCUUAUGAAGAAAAAUCAAGUUCAUAAGACAGUAAAGCAAUCCAACAUUAUAGAAGGGAGAUUGUCACAAUAUGAAGGACAGUCAGGGAAAAUGAUGGAACCCUGGAGAGAACGGGACAUCUUUCUUCAAAACGAUUGGACUACCUCCCCAAAGGUGGGACUAUGGAGCUAAACCGAUCUCUAUUGGAGCCUUCUGCCUGCUUGCCCCAGGGAUCAAUUCCUCUACUAACCACACCUAACACUGAAGACCUCAUCAUUCCUCUUCAACAAAUUGUUGAGGGUCCCUAAAUCAGAAAAAGGCUGAAAUUUUAGGGGCCAAAUCCUGGAACACUUGUUAUGUGGUGUCCAGAACCUGGAAGAGAAAUACAGUGGGCUAUGAAAUUGGAGUGUUACAGAAUAAACUGAAAAGUGAUAUUGCAGGUGUAACAAAAUUAGUUACCAGGGAACAGUAGCAGAGAUUAACACAAAGUCAGUUAGCAACUUACUGGGGGCCUACUCAGACACUGAGUGGAAUUUCCUGGGGUCCAUUCAUCCAAACAGUUUCUCUCCAAAGAAAUAAGGGCCAAAGUCCUUUGGGAGAUGGGAUGAUGAUCUCAUCUUCUGAAACUACUUCCUGC
rnacentral:lncRNA from 1 species